CCUACGAGUGGCUGCAGUGAGGAAUAUUGGUCAAUGGGAGAGAUCCUGAACCAGCCAAGCCGCGUGAGGGAAGACGGCCCUAUGGGUUGUAAACCUCUUUUGUCGGAGAACAAAACCCGGGACGUGUCCCGGACUGCGUGUAUCCGAAGAAAAAGCAUCGGCUAACUCCGUGCCAGCAGCCGCGGUAAUACGGAGGAUGCGAACGUUAUCCGGAUUUAUUGGGUUUAAAGGGUGCGUAGGCGGUCCGUUAAGUCAGCGGUAAAAGUGCGGGGCUCAACCCCGUCGAGCCGUUGAAACUGGCAGACUUGAGUUGGCGAGAAGUACGCGGAAUGCGCGGUGUAGCGGUGAAAUGCAUAGAUAUCGCGCAGAACUCCGAUUGCGAAGGCAGCGUACCGGCGCCAGACUGACGCUGAGGCACGAAAGCGUGGGGAUCGAACAGGAUUAGAUACCCUGGUAGUC
rnacentral:rRNA from 1 species